UGGGGAAUAUUGGACAAUGGGCGGAAGCCUGAUCCAGCCAUGCCGCGUGUGUGAAGAAGGCCUUUUGGUUGUAAAGCACUUUAAGCGAGGAGGAGGCUACUUGGAUUAAUACUCUAGGAUAGUGGACGUUACUCGCAGAAUAAGCACCGGCUAACUCUGUGCCAGCAGCCGUGGUAAUACAGAGGGUGCGAGCGUUAAUCGGAUUUACUGGGCGUAAAGCGUGCGUAGGCGGCUUCUUAAGUCGGAUGUGAAAUCCCUGAGCUUAACUUAGGAAUUGCAUUCGAUACUGGGAAGCUAGAGUAUGGGAGAGGAUGGUAGAAUUCCAGGUGUAGCGGUGAAAUGCGUAGAGAUCUGGAGGAAUACCGAUGGCGAAGGCAGCCAUCUGGCCUAAUACUGACGCUGAGGUACGAAAGCAUGGGGAGCAAACAGG
rnacentral:rRNA from 1 species